GCACCGGGGAGGCAGCUGGGUCAGGGAUGGGAGAAACAGGUGGACAAGGCACUCGGAUGGAAAGAACCGGAGAGGCAGGCGGGGCAGGUAUCAGAAAGUCCGACACUAGGUUGACAGUUGGGGUAGGUACCUGAAGGUCAGACACUAGGUUGACAGUUGGGGUAGGUACCUGAAGGUCAGACACUGGUCUGGCAGUUGGGGUAGGUACCUGAAGGUCAGAUACUGGUCUGGCAGUUGGGGUAGGUACCUGAAGGUCAGAUGCUGGGCUGACAGUUGGGGUAGGUACCUGAAGGUCAGACACUGGUCUGGCAGUUGGGGUAGGUACCUGAAGGUCAGAUACUGGUCUGGCACUUGGGGUAGGUACCUGAAGGUCAGACACUGGGCUGAUAGUUG
rnacentral:lncRNA from 1 species